UAACCGCUGAAAGCAUCUAAGCGGGAAGCCUUCCUCGAGAUGAGUUCUCCCACCCCUUUGUGGGUGUAAGGCCCCCGGUAGACGACCGGGUUGAUAGGCCGGAGAUGGAAGCGCGGUAACGUGUGGAGUCGACCGGUACUAAUAGGCCGAGUGGCUUGAACACAC
rnacentral:rRNA from 1 species